rfam:Triticum aestivum genome assembly, contig: Triticum_aestivum_CS42_TGACv1_scaffold_374007_5AL
GAAAUACUCCCUCCGUCUGGAAAUACUUGUCGGAGAAAUGGAUAAAAAUAUAUCCAUUUCUCCGACAAGUAUUUCCGGACGGAGGGAGUAUUAC